rnacentral:lncRNA from 1 species
GAGAAAAUAUAUGUAUAACAUGGGAGAUAAUUAGAUUCUAAACAUUAAAACAUUUGACAGCAAUUGGAUGAUUCAAAACAUCUGCACAAUAAGUUUUACUUCCAUGAAUAUUAUCCAAAGAUUUUCUACCUUUUCUGAAUGUAUCUUUAAAUACUCCUCAGCCUUGCCUAGUCGCUCCUCAAAUACAUCUAUUGCUUCAGAAUCCCAUACCUAUCAAGGGAAACACGUGUAUAUUGCUAUUCAAUUAUAGAAUAAUUAACCCAAAUAGCCGUCCACCCAACCGCUUAAACUAAAAAUAGCCGGUGGAGGUAUAAUGUAUAUAUAAUUUAUGUAUUAUAUGUGUAUAAUUAUGUAUAAUGAAUGUAUAAUCUAUGCAUAUGUGAAAAAAAAGUAAAUAAUAAAUAUGACUGGCUAUUUGUGUAAAGAUCCCUAAAUUAUAAGAUGUUAUAAGAAAAUAAUAACGAUUAAUUAACAAUGAAACUUAUAACAUAACUUAAACACAACAGAUAUUAGAAUAAAUAUAAGAGAUCAUAUAUAUACGUUAAACUAGUUAUAUAAAAGAUUUUACAAAACUUUUAACUAGUACAUUAGCAAAAACUUUAAACUAAUUAUAUAAGAGAUCUAGACUAGUUAUAUAAGAGAUCUUACAACAAAACAUAAGAGAUCAUUAACUUUAAACACAAGAGAUAUUAGAAUAAACAUAAGAGAUCAUAUAUAAACUUUAAACUAGUUAUAUAAGAGAUCUUAGAACAAAACAUAAGAUAUAUUUGAGAAAUAUUAUUAAAUUUAAAUGUAAAAUAAAAAUGAAGAAGAAAAACAACAAUCACAAUCGAUACAAAGUCAUCAAGUUAUAUUUGUGUUUCGAGCAGCAAAUUCGACAUUAAUUGAUAUCCCCAGUCUUAUUGAAUUGUGGAAGUCAAAUUAUUUUACGGGCCUGGUGAAAUAAAAAACUACGAAGAAGAAUUCACAUGGAUUUAGGAAGGGCCUCGAUGAAAACAAGAGAAACAAGAAUUUGUGUUUCAUUUUUCCCAACUUUGACAAAUUCGAGUGUAACAAAAAAAAAAUGAGUUACCUCAUUUUUCCCCAGCUUGGACAAGAAAUAACGGGGAUCUUAGAACAUAGCAGAACAUAAAGAACUAGAAAACACAAAAAAUGGAGAAUUUAGAAGCAACACUCUUUCCGUUGAAAUCGACCGAAGGGUUUUCAAGGAAAGGGUUUUGUCUUUCUAGAGAAGCUUUCCUAUUGUAAAGGAA